AAUGUACAAAUAAGCGAUAAAGAAGCAGUGAGAUCAUGA
rnacentral:guide_RNA from 1 species